ensembl:miRNA
AAUAGAGGGUGCACAGGCACGGGAGCUCAGGUGAGCUCAGUUCCCUGCCUCACCUGAGCAACCGUGCCUGUGCACCCUCUAUU